rnacentral:tRNA from 1 species
GGGUAUAUAGUUCAAGUGGUAGAGCACAUGCUUAGCAUGCACAAGGUCCUGGGUUCAAUCCCCAGUACCUCCU